GUGAACGCUGGCGGUAGGCCUAACACAUGCCAGUCGCACGGCAGCACAGUAAGAGCUUGCUCUUACGGGUGGCGAGUGGCGGACGGGUGAGGAAUACAUCGGAAUCUACUUUUUCGUGGGGGAUAACGUAGGGAAACUUACGCUAAUACCGCAUACGACCUACGGGUGAAAGCAGGGGAUCUUCGGACCUUGCGCGAUUGAAUGAGCCGAUGUCGGAUUAGCUAGUUGGCGGGGUAAAGGCCCACCAAGGCGACGAUCCGUAGCUGGUCUGAGAGGAUGAUCAGCCACACUGGAACUGAGACACGGUCCAGACCCCUACGGGAGGCAGCAGUGGGGAAUAUUGGACAAUGGGCGCAAGCCUGAUCCAGCCAUACCGCGUGGGUGAAGAAGGCCUUCGGGUUGUAAAGCCCUUUUGUUGGGAAAGAAAAGCAGCAGGUUAAUACCCCGCUGUUCUGACGGUACCCAAAGAAUAAGCACCGGCUAACUUCGUG
rnacentral:rRNA from 1 species